rnacentral:rRNA from 1 species
AACGAACGCUGGCGGCAUGCUUAACACAUGCAAGUGGAACGAGACCUUCGGGUCUAGUGGCGCACGGGUGCGUAACGCGUGGGAAUCUGCCCUUUGCUACGGAAUAACCCAGUGAAAUUUGUGCUAAUACUGUAUAAUGUCGAAAGACCAAAUAUUCAUCGGCAAAGGAUGAGCCCGCGUAGGAGUAGCUAGUUGGUGAGGUAAAGGCUCACCAAGGCGACGAUCCUUAGCUGGUCUGAGAGGAUGAUCAGGCACACUGGGACUGAGACACGGCCCAUACUCCUACGGUAGUCAGCAGUGGGGAAUAUUGGACAAUAGGCGAAAGCCUGAUCCAUCAAUGCCGCGUGAGUGAUGAAGGCCUUAGGGUUGUAAAGCUCUUUUACCAGGGAUGAUAAUGACAGUACCUGGAGAAUAAGCUCCGGCUAACUCCGUGCCAGCCGCCGCGGUAAGAC